rnacentral:sRNA from 1 species
GCCCAGCUGCGCAGACGCCGCCUGACUCCGCAGUCCGGGCCUGGGGCUGGGCGCGCUGCCCGGGAUCCCCGCACCCACGCCUGGACCGCGGAGACGCCCAGGCCGAGGAACCCCCAGCCCAGGGACUAGACACCACCAGGGCCGGGCGGAGCCAGAGCCAGACGCGCCGGAGCGGGCGCCUCUACGCCGGUUGGAUAGCAGUUGGAUCUGGGCUGAAGACAGAUCUGAGAGUCACCAGCAUAUGAUGGUCCUUGAAGCUACAGCAGAGAAUGAGGUCCUCUGGAGAGAAAUGCACAAAAUCAGAAGACAGCCUGGCUCAGGACGGAGGAAAACCCUCUGCAGGAGACUGAGAAUGAACAGACUAGAUGUUCGCCAUCCAGCCAGGGCUAGCUGAGGGGGGCCAAUUCCUGGGGGACCCACCUCCUGGAGUAUGUCAGCCCGAGCUCCAACCAGACAGCAACUCCAACUUCAUGGCAAGUGCCAAGGAUG